rnacentral:rRNA from 1 species
AUUGAACGCUGGCGGCAUGCUUUACACAUGCAAGUCGAACGGUAACAGGCCUUCGGGUGCUGACGAGUGGCGAACGGGUGAGUAAUGCAUCGGAACGUACCCAGAGUAGGGGGAUAACGCAUCGAAAGCUGUGCUAAUACCGCAUGUGAUCUGAGGAUGAAAGCGGGGGACCGAGCAGCAAUGUUUGGCCUCGCGCCUUUGGAGCGGCCGAUGUCGGAUUAGCUAGUUGGUGGGGUAAAGGCCUACCAAGGCGACGAUCCGUAGCUGGUCUGAGAGGACGACCAGCCACACUGGGACUGAGACACGGCCCAGACUCCUACGGGAGGCAGCAGUGGGGAAUUUUGGACAAUGGGCGCAAGCCUGAUCCAGCAAUGCCGCGUGCGGGAAGAAGGCCUUCGGGUUGUAAACCGCUUUUGGCAGGAACGAAACGGUGUCCGCUAAUACCGGGCGCUAAUGACGGUACCUGCAGAAUAAGCACCGGCUAACUACGUG